UGCAGUCGAGCGGCAGCACGGGUACUUGUACCUGGUGGCGAGCGGCGGACGGGUGAGUAAUGCCUAGGAAUCUGCCUGGUAGUGGGGGAUAACGCUCGGAAACGGACGCUAAUACCGCAUACGUCCUACGGGAGAAAGCAGGGGACCUUCGGGCCUUGCGCUAUCAGAUGAGCCUAGGUCGGAUUAGCUAGUUGGUGAGGUAAUGGCUCACCAAGGCGACGAUCCGUAACUGGUCUGAGAGGAUGAUCAGUCACACUGGAACUGAGACACGGUCCAGACUCCUACGGGAGGCAGCAGUGGGGAAUAUUGGACAAUGGGCGAAAGCCUGAUCCAGCCAUGCCGCGUGUGUGAAGAAGGUCUUCGGAUUGUAAAGCACUUUAAGUUGGGAGGAAGGGCAGUUACCUAAUACGUAUCUGUUUUGACGUUACCGACAGAAUAAGCACCGGCUAACUCUGUGCCAGCAGCCGCGGUAAUACAGAGGGUGCAAGCGUUAAUCGG
rnacentral:rRNA from 1 species